UGGGGAAUUUUGGACAAUGGGCGAAAGCCUGAUCCAGCAAUGCCGCGUGUGUGAAGAAGGCCUUCGGGUUGUAAAGCACUUUUGUCCGGAAAGAAAUCCUUGGCUCUAAUACAGUCGGGGGAUGACGGUACCGGAAGAAUAAGCACCGGCUAACUACGUGCCAGCAGCCGCGGUAAUACGUAGGGUGCAAGCGUUAAUCGGAAUUACUGGGCGUAAAGCGUGCGCAGGCGGUUUGCUAAGACCGAUGUGAAAUCCCCGGGGCUCAACCUGGGAACUGCAUUGGGUGACUGGCAGGCUAGAGUAUGGCAGAGGGGGGUUAGAAUUCCACGUGUAGCAGUGAAAUGCGUAGAGAUGUGGAGGAAUACCGAUGGCGAAGGCAGCCCCCUGGGCCAAUACUGACGCUCAUGCACGAAAGCGUGGGGGAGCAAACAGGAUUAGAUACCCCUGGUAGUCCACGCCCUAAANGAUGUCAACUAGUUGUUGGGGAUUCAUUUUCCUUAGUAACGUAGCUAACGCGUGAAGUUGACCGCCUGGGGGAGUACGGUCGCAAGAUUAAAACUUAAAUGAAUUGAC
rnacentral:rRNA from 1 species